GAUGAACGCUGGCGGCGUGCUUAACACAUGCAAGUCGAACGGAAAGGCCCAAGCUUGCUUGGGUACUCGAGUGGCGAACGGGUGAGUAACACGUGGGUGAUCUGCCCUGCACUUCGGGAUAAGCCUGGGAAACUGGGUCUAAUACCGGAUAGGACGAUGGUUUGGAUGCCAUUGUGGAAAGUUUUUUCGGUGUGGGAUGAGCUCGCGGCCUAUCAGCUUGUUGGUGGGGUAAUGGCCUACCAAGGCGUCGACGGGUAGCCGGCCUGAGAGGGUGUACGGCCACAUUGGGACUGAGAUACGGCCCAGACUCCUACGGGAGGCAGCAGUGGGGAAUAUUGCACAAUGGGCGCAAGCCUGAUGCAGCGACGCCGCGUGGGGGAUGACGGCCUUCGGGUUGUAAACUCCUUUCGCUAGGCACGAAGCGUUUUUGUGACGGUACCUGGAGAAGAAGCACCGGCUAACUACGUG
rnacentral:rRNA from 1 species